UGACGCCAAGCACGUGGUUUGAUAAAGAGAUAAAUUGAGGCGCAGCCUCAUUAACAUUCUCUCUUCCUUGUCGCGGUGCAAGAGGAAGGAGUGGCGGCUACAAAGAACUAAAACAUCAGCAGUUUUAAAGCCUAAAAUGCGGAAGGAUGCGUUAUGAAAACCGUUUGAGGUGGGAUGUCAGGAGUCUACUUGUUGACCCAACGCCUCAAUCUGAGAAAUUUAUACUGAUUUGAAAUGUUGCAUAUCCUGGACAUGUAAAAAAGUCUGUUUUAAUUUAAAGCCUAAACGACAAUAAACUACUCUGCAAAAAAGUAAAGCCUCAAAGAUCUUUUGUGUAAAUGUUUUGUUUUCCAAGGUUUGCAGUUUUUUUAGAUGAUUUCCUAUUGGAUUACAGCUUCAGAUGUUUGAGUGUAGAUUGUUUCAGUCUAAAGUUUUAAGUCUCACUUGAUCAUGAUCUCCUUUAUAAAUGUCCUCAGCAUCUUUUCACUCCAUUUGCAGGAGGCUUUGUACAAAAAUUAUCUUUCUUGACUUGAAAGCAUAUUUUAUUCAUACACUUAAAAAAAACAGGAAACAAACAAAAAAUAAACUUUAUAUUGGGAAAGAAAUGCUUGAAAAAUGUACAGUACAAUUUGAGAUGCAAACUCAAGAACAAAGCAAUUCACCUGCAAAUGUUUUCCAAACUGGAUGUUGGAUUAUACUUUUAGCGUAAGAAAAAUUCUGACAAAGAGGAGCAUAUGAACAAACAUAAGAAUACAAUGGAUGUUUAGCCAGCAGAAAAAAAUAAACAUUGAAUAUUUUUUUAUGUUUACAACAAAACGCAUAAGCUGGGACAGAUUACUAGUGCAGAUUAAUACUUGUCUCUGUUUCCUCAAAGAAAAAACAAAGGUUGUUUCAGCACCUAGAGACAUACUUGUUUCCUCAGAAUCUUCUGAAGUUAGAUUCCCAUCUUGUAAAUACCAGGAUGCUCCAAAUACUCCAUAGCAGUUCAUCUAUUGAUUGAUGGUUAGGUUGUUUCUUACACCCUUAAAUAUCUGAAGCAUGAAUAUUAAAUGUUGAAUAAUGGUUACAUCCAGCAACAUUAGACAUUGUGAAUUUCUCUCUGGGAUUAAUAAAGUAUAUAUCCAUUCAUUCGCUACUUUUUUGCUAGCUAGUUUUAGCCGGAACACUCUGGUUUAAAUCUAACUGAACAUAUUCAGUUAAUGUUCUAUUCAUCCAACAUUUGUUGUGUCCAGUAAGUUUAUAUAGGUAGUUUUGUGAGUAAAUAUAUUAAAUCUAAUAGUUUAAGUGUAGAAUUGAAGUUCGUUUCCAGCUUUAGCUUAUUUAGCCGCAGCGCUAAUGCUAGGUAGCUGAGCGUCUUAACGCCACAUAUGGUUGUCAGGGAAACUGUUUCCAUUAUGUCAGUAACUUUUUAUGCCUUUACUCCUGGGAGUCCCAAGACAUGACAUCAUUGAGAUCAUGUUUUCUUUUAAGAUGCAAUUUGUCAUUGUAGUAUUUUUAAAUAAAUAAUUUUAAAUAAACUUGUAAAAGCAUAUAUGUGAGGUUGUACAGAACAAAUUUAUACAAAACAAGACUCUUAAACAGUUUAAAGUGUAAUCUCAAACCAGCUUGUAAGUUUUAUUUUUUUACACACUGGUCAAACCAGUUUAGUUAAACUAUCUUAUUUUGUUAGAGCAUUAAGUUUUGUGAACACACUGCAAAAAUUUGCUAUGGAGUUAAAUUAAUUGUUGGAAUUAGAUUAAUUUAGUUGAAUUUAUUUUUCUCUUUUUUAAAGCUUUAUGAAAGCACAUUUUAAAAAUGUGUUAAUUUGUAUUUUAGCUAAUAUUAUUUCUGCUAAGAAACAUUGGUUAAAAUUCACACAGUUAAAAAGUAUGCAGACUGUUGCAUUUUUAAAAUUUUAGUUUAUCAGUGUAAA